rnacentral:rRNA from 1 species
GCAACUUCGGUUCAGUGGCGGACGGGUGCGUAACACGUGAGGAACAUGACCUUCGGCGGGGGAUAGCCGGCCCAACGGCCGGGUAAUACCGCGUACGACCAUUCGGGGACAUCCCUGGGUGGUGAAAGCAGCAAUGCGCCGAUGGAGUGCCUCGCGGCCUAUCAGCUAGUUGGUGGGGUAACGGCUCACCAAGGCAACGACGGGUAGCUGGUCUGAGAGGAUGGCCAGCCACAUUGGGACUGAGACACGGCCCAGACUCCUACGGGAGGCAGCAGUGGGGAAUAUUGCGCAAUGGACGAAAGUCUGACGCAGCGACGCCGCGUGUGGGAUGACGGUCUUCGGA